GACGAACGCUGGCGGCGUGCUUAACACAUGCAAGUCGAACGGAAAGGCCCUGCUUUUGUGGGGUGCUCGAGUGGCGAACGGGUGAGUAACACGUGAGUAACCUGCCCUUGACUUUGGGAUAACUUCAGGAAACUGGGUCUAAUACCGGAUAGGAGCUCCUGCUGCAUGGUGGGGGUUGGAAAGUUUCGGCGGUUGGGGAUGGACUCGCGGCUUAUCAGCUUGUUGGUGGGGUAGUGUCUUACCAAGGCUUUGACGGGUAGCCGGCCUGAGAGGGUGACCGGCCACAUUGGGACUGAGAUACGACACAGACUCCUACGGGAGGCAGCAGUGGGGAGGAUUGCACAGUGGGCGGAAGCCUGAUGCAGCAACGCCGCGUGCGGGAUGACGGCCUUCGGGUUGUGAACCGCUUUCGCCUGUGACGAAGCGUGAGUGACGGUAAUGGGUAAAGAAGCACCGGCUAACUACGUG
rnacentral:rRNA from 1 species